AACGAACGCUGGCGGCGCGUUUUAAGCAUGCAAGUCGAACGGUAGGCGGGGGCAACUCCGCCGAGAGUGGCGCACGGGUGAGUAACACGUAGGUGAUCUACCCUGGGUUUGGGGAUAGCCCAUGGAAACAUGGGGUAAUACCGAGUACGCUCUUUUGGUUAUGACUGAAAGAGGAAAGGCGCGGGUGCGCCGACCUGGGAUGAGCCUGCGGCCUAUUAGCUAGUUGGCGGGGUAACGGCCCACCAAGGCGACGACGGGUAGCCGGCCUGAGAGGGUGAACGGCCACACUGGGACUGAGAUACGGCCCAGACUCCUACGGGAGGCAGCAGCUAAGAAUCUUCCGCAAUGGGGGAAACCCUGACUGAGCGACGCCGCGUGGAUGAUGAAGGCCGAAAGGUUGUAAAAUCCUUUUCUCUGUGAAGAAUAAGUGGGGAAGGAAAUAGCCUCAUGAUGACGUUAGCAGAGGAAUAAGCCCCGGCUAACUACGUGCCAGCCGCCGCUGUAACAC
rnacentral:rRNA from 1 species